rnacentral:rRNA from 2 species
UGGGGAAUUUUGCGCAAUGGGCGAAAGCCUGACGCAGCAACGCCGCGUGGAGGAUGAAUGUCUUCGGAUUGUAAACUCCUUUCAAUAGUGAUGAAAAUGACAGUAGCUAUAAAAGAAGCCCCGGCUAAAUACGUGCCAGCAGCCGCGGUAAUACGUAUGGGGCAAGCGUUAUCCGGAUUUAUUGGGCGUAAAGAGCGCGUAGGCGGAUUAUUAAGCGAGAUGUGAAAACUGGGGGCUCAACCCGCAGCUUGCAUCUCGAACUGGUAGUCUGGAGUUUGGUAGAGGAGUGUGGAAUUCCCAGUGUAGCGGUGGAAUGCGCAGAUAUUGGGAGGAACACCAGUGGCGAAGGCGACACUCUGGGCCAUAACUGACGCUGAGGCGCGAAAGCUAGGGGAGCAAACAGG